GCGAGCCCCCGGCCCAGCCCCGUGGGAAGCUUCCUUUUCUCUGGGCCGCGCCUGGCGUGCGCCCGCGGUGACCCGGCGGCCUGCCCAGCCCUAAACCCUGCUCGGGGCUUUGGGGUCUCCUGCGGGAGCCUGCGCACUUCCCGGCCUCCUCCUCUGCGCGGAGGACUCGCCUGCAGGCUGCACCCUCCUGCCCUCUCCCUGGCUGUCCGGAUCCUUCCCGCCAGCCGUUUGCAUCAACUUUCCUGGAGAAUUCGGUCACAGUGUUCAGCAGGUCCUGAGCUUCCUCCCUGAGAAGGGCUCUCUGCCCUCGGUGUGGUCUCCCGGCUGCUGCGGGAGAGCACUCUGUUCUUUGGAAAAGUGGGUGUCCUCAGAUACAGAUAGCCUUGGAACUGUGUGAGCCGGGUGUGGUGGCGCCGGCUGUUAUCCCAGCACUCUAGGAGGCUGAGUCAGGAGGACCCCACGUUCAAGUCCAGUCUGGGCAACUCAGUGACUUGGUGAGACCCUGUCUCAAAUCUGAAGAUGUAGCUCAGAGCACAGCCCUGGGUUCCAUCCCCAGCACUGCCCAAAACAAACAGCCUCCAUCUGAUCUGUAGCCCGAGGGGGUCAGCUGGGCUGGAACUUCUGCAGCUCUGUUCAGUGCUGACCUGUGCUCCUGCAAGAGGCGCGAGUCCCUGGAGGCGUCAGGAGCCUCUCCAGGACGGAUGGGAAGCAGAGUGGGUUGAUUCGGCUCCCCGGGAGCUGGAGCGCAAGAGUGGGGUGAGGAGAGCGAGCGGCUCAUCUGUGCGCCAAGCUCAGCGCUUCCUCCCUGCCCAGCCGCUCUCCAGCCAUGCUUACUGCUCUGGGAGGGAAAAGAGGGUGGGAAACGGAGGCUGCGUGCCCUAGGGAGGACUUGCCGCGGCCAGGCCUGCCGCAGAGGAAUGCGUGCACCGCCCAGGCCCCGGCUUUGGGAGACCCCGUGGCAGCGCCGCUCUCUCCGCGGCCCGCAGGUGAUCAUCUUGGAGGACUACGCAGACCCUUACGAUGCCAGGCGCACAAAGGGGCAGAGGGACGCAGAGCGAGCCGGCGAGAACGACGGCUACAUGGAGCCCUACGACGCCCAGCAGAUGAUCACAGAGAUCAGGCGCCGAGGCUCCAAGGACCCCCUGGUGAAGGCCCUGCAGCUGCUGGAGGGGCCCGGCGAGUCCGGGGAGAUNNNNNNNNNNNNNNNNNNNNNNNNNNNNNNNNNNNNNNNNNNNNNNNNNNNNNNNNNNNNNNNNNNNNNNNNNNNNNNNNNNNNNNNNNNNNNNNNNNNNNNNNNCGGGAGCCGCUGCCUGAGGGAGACGGGAGGCCGGCAGCGGAGUACGAGCAGCCCUGGGAGUGGAAGAAGGAGCCGCUGGCGCGCGCGCUCUCCGGUGAGCACCUCCCCAGCCCCCACGCAGGCCCCUGCAACGCCCAUCUGUCUGUCUGUCUGUCUGUCUGUCGCCUGUCAUGCUGCCAGUGCAAUCUAGACACCCUGCUUUAUCCCGGCCUGCCUGGCACACGCAGGAGCCCAGUGCUGGAGGCUGAGGCAGGAGGAUCGCCAUGAGUUCAAGACCAGAUGGGGCUACAUAAAAAGCCCCUGUCUUGAAAACAUACAAACUCCUCCUAAAGGAAUCAGUUCCUCGAGUAUGAAUUUAUUUUUAUUUUUUUGACCCGAGGCCUCACCAGGUUCUCCAGGCUCCGUGACCUCCCAGAGUUGCCCCUGGGUGGCUGGGAUUCGAGAUGUGGCUGGCCAGGCCCUGCUGUGGUAACUCAGGGGAAAGUCAGUCGUCAGUGUACAUCACAGACGGCCACCUAGCUCCUCUGCCUGGCUGACCGCCUAAUGUCUUUUGUCCUUGGUGCGAAAUUUUAGGGACAUCUUUUCCCUCUGUGGUAACUGCAGGUGGGCAGUGAGUGUGAGGCGGUAUGCGGGGGCAGAGGAGCCCUGGGCUGCGCCCGGGGACAGCGGAGCUGCGACCGUGCUGCCCUCAGCCACCUGCCCAGCUCUGCCUCACAGCACCCCAGGGCUCCCUGCCGUGGCUUCUCUCUGGUUUUGUCCAUUUUUUAUUUUAUUGGUUCUUUUUCUUUUAUUCUUUUUUCUGUUUGUUGGCUGGUUGGCUGGUCUUUUGGAUUUUUGAGACAGGGUCUGGCUGUGUGUUCGCGGCUGCCCUCGAACUCAAGCUGCCUCAGUCUCCCAGAUGCUGGGUCACAGGUACGCACCACCACGCCUGGCCAUUUAUUUAUCUCACAGAAGAGCUGUUCACUUGUUUUCAUAGAAAGAUACAAACUCUUGUAAGGAAUCAUUACACAUAACUGUAUUUAGUCUGUAUUCUAGAAAUACUAAAGCUGAAGCAGGCAUGGCGGUGUACACCUGUAGUUCCGGAACUCGGGAGGCUGAGGCAGGAAGAUCACUGAGUUUCAAGCCAGCCUGAACCAUAUAGCAAGACUCUGUCUCAAAACACAAAACAAAGUAAUGAACAUGCUAAAGCUAAGAGUUCUUUUCAAAGUCCAUUCUGAAGCAGGGCGUAGUGGCAUGCACCUGUAAGGCUGCGGACCUGGGCGGCCCAGGCAGGGGGACCCCAAGUUCAAGGCUGGGGCGUGGCUUGGUCAGAGGUGCCAGGGCUCCCAGCACGGGGCGGGUGCUCCGUGGUCCCACGCAUCCCGGCCUGUGGAGGACCCGUGCCCUCCCGGCCGGGGCACAGUGGCUGCUCCUCCACGUUUGCGGCCUUGGAAGGAAGACGACCGGCCGGGUUGUGGGCCGAGUCGUGUUGCAGCAGCUCCGCCACACACCGCGCUCUGAGACGCACCCGCUUCCAGUCCAGCUCGAAGGAGCCGAGCGCCCGGCCAAGGAGG
rnacentral:lncRNA from 1 species